UUUUUCCAAGUGCUCUGAUGACUGGAAAAUUCGUUGACAUAUGUGCUACUGCUUUCAACACAACAUUGUCGUUUGAAUAAGGAAAUGUCGAAUGAGCGUUUGGUACACAACUGUGGUUAACCUUGCUUUGAAGCAGGUAAAGUCCAGCAACCUCAGUGUUGAGAAAUUCGCCCGAGACUUUAAUGAUUACAUACAUAUGUAUACGUGUGAAAUAAUAAUACGAAAUUUAAAUAUAAACUAAUUGUUGUUAACUUACA